GGCCCCUAAGGCGAGGCUGAAGAGCGUAGUCGAUGGGAACCAGGUUAAUAUUCCUGGACUUUUUAUAAGUGGUGAAGUGGGGACGAAGAAGGCUAGGUGAGCCAGGCGUUGGUUGUCCUGGUACUUGCAUGUAGGGGGGAAGACUUGGCAAAUCCGGUUUUCCAUAACUCUGAGGUGCGAAGUGGUUCUGACCUUUUGGUACAGAGAAGUCAUUGAUGCCCGGCUUCCAGGAAAAGCUGCUAGCCAUAACUUAUAGAGAACCGUACCGCAAACCGACACAGGUGGACAGGUAGAGAAUACUAAGGCGCUUGAGAGAACUCGGGUGAAGGAACUAGGCAAAAUGGUACCGUAACUUCGGGAGAAGGUACGCCCUUUCUGGUGAUGGGAUUUACUUUCAGAGCUGGAGAGGGCCGCAGAGACCAGGUGGCUGCGACUGUUUAUUAAAAACACAGCACUCUGCAAAUUCGUAAGAAGACGUAUAGGGUGUGACGCCUGCCCGGUGCCGGAAGGUUAAUUGAUGGGGUUAUCUUCGGAGAAGCUCUUGAUCGAAGCCCCGGUAAACGGCGGCCGUAACUAUAACGGUCCUAAGGUAGCGAAAUUCCUUGUCGGGUAAGUUCCGACCUGCACGAAUGGCGUAACGAUGGCCACACUGUCUCCACCCGAGACUCAGUGAAAUUGAAAUCGCUGUGAAGAUGCAGUGUACCCGCGGCUAGACGGAAAGACCCCGUGAACCUUUACUAUAGUUUUGCACUGGACUUUGAUGAUGACUGUGUAGGAUAGGUGGGAGGCUGUGAAGUGAGGACGCUAGUUCUCAUGGAGCCGCCCUUGAAAUACCACCCUGUUGUUAUUGAGGUUCUAACUUGGUCCAGUAAUCCUGGAUGAGGACAGUGUAUGAUGGGUAGUUUGACUGGGGCGGUCUCCUCCCAAAGAGUAACGGAGGAGCACAAAGGUACCCUCGGUACGGUCGGACAUCGUACCAAGAGUGUAAAGGCAAAAGGGUGCUUGACUGCGAGAGUGACGGCUCGAGCAGGAACGAAAGUUGGUCUUAGUGAUCCGGUGGUUCUGAAUGGAAGGGCCAUCGCUCAACGGAUAAAAGGUACUCCGGGGAUAACAGGCUGAUACCGCCCAAGAGUUCAUAUCGACGGCGGUGUUUGGCACCUCGAUGUCGGCUCAUCACAUCCUGGGGCUGAAGCAGGUCCCAAGGGUAUGGCUGUUCGCCAUUUAAAGUGGUACGCGAGCUGGGUUUAGAACGUCGUGAGACAGUUCGGUCCCUAUCUGCCGUGGGCGUAGGAAAAUUGAGAGGAGCUGCUCCUAGUACGAGAGGACCGGAGUGGACGAACCUCUGGUGCACCGGUUGUCACGCCAGUGGCAUGGCCGGGUAGCUAAGUUCGGACGGGAUAACCGCUGAAAGCAUCUAAGCGGGAAGCCUCCCUCAAGAUGAGUUUUCCCAUGAAGCCCGUUGAAGACUACGACGUUGAUAGGCAAGGUGUGGAAGCGCAGUAAUGCGUGAAGCUAACUUGUACUAAUUGGCUGAUUGUCUUGACCAUAUAAUCUGAG
rnacentral:rRNA from 1 species